GGGGCUUGCCUCUCGAGGCUGGUGGCCCCCAUGUGCUUCCUGACUAUCUGGUCUCCUUGAGUUCCUCCUAAGUGAUGGGCCUUAGGCCAGAGGACCAAGAAGCUGUUCCACGUGGACGAGGCUCCUUUCAUUCUCGCCAGUGUUUUCCUGAUGAGAGUUCAAUGUGUGGUUCACAGGGCGUUCUAGUCUCACAUGAAGCCCCUGUGCAAUCCUGUGUUGGCAUCAGUGACACCAACAAAAGCAGAGAAAAGAGGGGUCCUCAAGAGCCUAUAUCUCUCUAGGAGGGAGAAUUGUCCAUUUUGAUACAAGGAGCUGUGGUCUCAAGGGAACCCGGAUUAAGAAGGCACUUUAGAAAGAACAUUCAGGCAGCUGUGUGAAAGUACUGCUGCAUGGGUGGAAGUGAUACCAAGAGUUGACCAGGUUGACGAGGAAACCUCAUCCUGGAAGAAGAUAGCAGGACGCCACAGAAUUCUAGUUUUUCUUCUAUUACCCUCCCUAUAGUGGCAUCACUUAUCUGACACCAUCAGCUAUCAAUUGAUUAAAACAUGUUGUCGUGUAUUCACAAAGAUUCAGAAAUUUAGAGCAGGAAAAGGAUACCUGGUAUAGCAUCUUCAUUGUAGAGACAACAAAAUUGAGGCUUAAACAGGUAAAGUGACUUUCUCAAAGUCAGUCAGAUAAUUAAUGCCUGAGGACAGAGGCUUCGUGGUGCUUAGUUUUGGUCUUUCCACAGAGCACCAUGGGAAACGCUCUCUC